rnacentral:rRNA from 1 species
UACGUAGGGGGCUAGCGUUGUCCGGAAUCAUUGGGCGUAAAGCGCGUGUAGGCGGUUCGGUAAGUCCGCUGUGAAAGUCGGGGGCUCAACCCUCGAAAGCCGGUGGAUACUGUCGGGCUAGAGUACGGAAGAGGCGAGUGGAAUUCCUGGUGUAGCGGUGAAAUGCGUAGAGAUCCGGAGGAACACCAGUGGCGAAGGCGACACGCUGGGCCAUACCUGACGCUAAAGCGCGACAGCAUGGGGAGCGAACGGG